GGGAAAUCGUCCACACGCACACAGGCGCGCCCCGCCCUCCCCGCCCAGCCAGCGCACGCCCCGCCGCCGAGCCAGCCGCCAGCCUCAGUUGUAGUCCUGCUGCGAUUAAGAGUAAACACCGCCUCAUGACCAGCGCAGGGAUUUCACCUCGUCCUUGAGGCACAGGCGCGCACACAGAGCGGGAGAAGGGGCCGAGCCGCAGCCCGCGCCCCCUCUGCCCAGCCCCGAGCAUCCUCCCGCCUCCCUCCCGGGCCA
rnacentral:lncRNA from 1 species